rnacentral:misc_RNA from 1 species
AUUAACAUAUCAGAUACAGAAUUAACAUUUGGCGGAUCUUCCAGCAACUUAGCACAAGAAGUUGCAUAUGCCCUUGGCACUGACCCAUGCAAAUGACCACUAGUUAAACCAUGAAAUGCAGAAUAGGAUCGAAGUUCACAAUCGACCUAUAGCAGUAUAAUGUGAAAACAAGGAUUCUGUAUCCACCUUAAGACUGCAUCAAACACAAUGGAUGCCAAGAGUCUAGCUUGAACUGAGGACUUGCUGUUUCAC